rnacentral:rRNA from 1 species
UCUACGGGAGGCAGCAGUGGGGAAUUUUGGACAAUGGGGGCAACCCUGAUCCAGCCAUGCCGCGUGAGUGAAGAAGGCCUUCGGGUUGUAAAGCUCUUUCGGCCGGGAAGAAAUCGUGUGGGCUAAUACCCUGCAUGGAUGACGGUACCGGAAUAAGAAGCACCGGCUAACUACGUGCCAGCAGCCGCGGUAAUACGUAGGGUGCGAGCGUUAAUCGGAAUUACUGGGCGUAAAGCGUGCGCAGGCGGUUUAGUAAGACAGGCGUGAAAUCCCCGGGCUCAACCUGGGAACUGCGCUUGUGACUGCUAGGCUAGAGUACGGCAGAGGGGGGUGGAAUUCCACGUGUAGCAGUGAAAUGCGUAGAGAUGUGGAGGAACACCGAUGGCGAAGGCAGCCCCCUGGGCCGAUACUGACGCUCAUGCACGAAAGCGUGGGUAGCAAACAGGAUUAGAUACCCUGGUAGUCCACGCCCUAAACGAUGUCAACUAGGUGUUGGGUGGGUAAAACCAUUUAGUACCGUAGCUAACGCGUGAAGUUGUCCGCCUGGGGAGUACGGCCGCAAGGUUAAAACUCAAAGGAAUUGACGGA